rnacentral:piRNA from 1 species
UUGCAUGCAUUGAGUAUCGCU